AUUUAAAUCGCUUAAGCCGUUUUGACGUGAAGAAGUAACAAACAUACACACUCGCAAACUUUCGCAUAUUAGUGGGAUAAGAAACUUAAAAAAACCUCCCUAGCCCCCGUCUUCAUUAUACGAUAUAAGAUUUAACGUCUAUAAUCUCGUAUUUUUGCAUUGUUUCAGACUCUACUUCAAAGCGCAGUUCGCCCAAAACGUGAUCCUGUACAAUGAAAAGAGGAAAACAGGAUGAUACAAGACAAAAAUAAAUAAAUCAAGGACGGAGGAUAAACUAAAGAUGACGUAUCUCUGUGGAUGAUGAAUCAACACAUAUGUCUAUAAUUAUAAAUACUGUCCUACGGACGAAGGACUGGCGACAAGACCCUUCCAAUAGAAAACGACGAUAUGGUGUGGAAAACAAGCAACAAUACAAGAUACAACAACCAAGAUGAUUAUCAUUAUCACAAAUUAUUUGAAUCCAAGCCGUUGUUCGUAGCAUCGCGCGGUCGGAUCUUGGUUAUACCAUACAACAUAAAAAUAUAAACCUUUGUUGUUGGGUAGAGCGGGGGAAUCCUCAUGGAAACCCGCUCCCUCGUCAGACUCUUACUGACUAAACCUGAACCGCCGUGCUACAUCAUCCGCACUUUUAUGUCGGUGUACGGCAAAGCGUUGCAAGCCUCCAAACAACCAUGCCCAGAUUUAAGGAAGUCGAAUGAAAAUAGCCUUUGGCCAAAUUCUAGUAAAAAUACUAUUAAAAAGUUCACGUAACAUAAACUGAAUCUAAAAUGAUGAUAGACACAUCAUCACGUGUAUAGAUUUGGAUUUUAUGAGAAUUAAAAAAUUGUUUUCGUACUAACUAAAUGAUUAUAAUCUUCCUUUUGUAUAUUUUUGAUAAAUCAAGAUUUUCGCCACCAUUCGCCAUUAGAACAUGUAAUUGUAAAUAGGAAAAUAACAAUAAAUGAUGUAAGAA